rnacentral:rRNA from 1 species
GACGAACGCUGGCGGCGUGCCUAAUACAUGCAAGUAGAACGCUGAAGGAGGAGCUUGCUUCUCUGGAUGAGUUGCGAACGGGUGAGUAACGCGUAGGUAACCUGCCUGGUAGCGGGGGAUAACUAUUGGAAACGAUAGCUAAUACCGCAUAAGAGUAGAUGUUGCAUGACAUUUGCUUAAAAGGUGCAAUUGCAUCACUACCAGAUGGACCUGCGUUGUAUUAGCUAGUUGGUGGGGUAACGGCUCACCAAGGCGACGAUACAUAGCCGACCUGAGAGGGUGGUCGGCCCAACUGGGACUGGGACACGGCCCAGACUCCUACGGGAGGCAGCAGUAGGGAAUCUUCGGCAAUGGACGGAAGUCUGACCGAGCAACGCCGCGGGAGUGAAGAAGGUUUUCGGAUCGUAAAGCUCUGUUGUAAGGGAAGAACGAGUGUGAGAGUGGAAAGUUCACACUGUGACGGUAUCUUACCAGAAAGGGACGGCUAACUACGUG